rnacentral:rRNA from 1 species
CACGCCGUAAACGAUGCACACUAGAUCGGAGUCGCUCUGACGCGCCUCUGGUCGACGUAAAAACAUUAAGUGUGCCGCCUGGGGAGUACGGUCGCAAGGCUAAAACUCAAAUGAAUUGACGGGGGCUCACACAAGCGGUGGAGCAUGUUGCUUAAUUCGAGGCAACGCGAAGAACCUUACCUGGGUUUGACAUGCACGGAUUAACUCCUGGAAACAGGAGCCACACCCUUCGGGUGGAACGUGCACAGGUGC